rnacentral:rRNA from 1 species
GACGAACGCUGGCGGCGUGCUUAACACAUGCAAGUCGAACGGAAAGGCCCUGCUUUUGUGGGGUGCUCGAGUGGCGAACGGGUGAGUAACACGUGAGUAACCUGCCCUUGACUUUGGGAUAACUUCAGGAAACUGGGGCUAAUACCGGAUAGGAGCUCCUGCUGCAUGGUGGGGGUUGGAAAGUUUCGGCGGUUGGGGAUGGACUCGCGGCUUAUCAGCUUGUUGGUGGGGUAGUGGCUUACCAAGGCUUUGACGGAUAGCCGGCCUGAGAGGGUGACCGGCCACAUUGGGACUGAGAUACGGCCCAGACUCCUACGGGAGGCAGCAGUGGGGAACAUUGCACAAUGGGCGGAAGCCUGAUGCAGCAACGCCGCGUGCGGGAUGACGGCCUUCGGGUUGUAAACCGCUUUCGCCUGUGACGAAGCGUGAGUGACGGUAAUGGGUAAAGAAGCACCGGCUAACUACGUG